ACUCAAAUGAAUUGACGGGGGCCCGCACAAGCAGUGGAGCAUGUGGUUUAAUUCGACGGUAAGCGAAGAACCUUACCGAGGCUUGACAUCUUGGGAAGGCUUUGGAAACAAAGCUGUGCCUUCGGGAACCCAAUGACAGGUGUUGCAUGGCCGUCGUCAGCUCGUGCCGUGAGGUGUUCGGUUAAGUCCGGAAACGAGCGCAGCCCUUAUUACUUGUUGAACUUUUCAAGUGAGACUGCCCUGGAAACAGGGAGGAAGGUGGGGAUGAAGUCAGGUCAGCAUGGCCCUUAUGCCUCGGGCUACACACGUGCUACAAUGGCCGGUACAACGGGUUGCUAAGUCGCGAGACGGAGCUAAUCCCAUCAAAACCGGUCUCAGUUCGGAUUGAAGGCUGCAACUCGCCUUCAUGAAGCUGGAAUUGCUAGUAACCGUGGGUCAGCAUACCACGGUGAAUACGUUCUCGGGCCUUGUACACACCGCCCGU
rnacentral:rRNA from 1 species